UUACAUAUUGACAUUGAAUAUACUAAUUAAAAAGUGUACAACACAUUUGCUUUUUAAAUAUUAUGAUUAUCAUAUUUCAAUAUAGUUGUAUAAUCCUAUGUAUUUUAUUUUAGGCACAGAAAAUGGAAGCAUUAUUCUUAGAAGAGUUCACCAGACUGCCAAAAAGGAUCAUAGCAUGAAAAAUGAUGAGAAUCUAUGCUUUAAUAACUAGCUGAAAGAAUCAGAACCACCUCUCCUAAAUAUCUUUGGUAAAAUUAUCCAAUUUCAGGGGCAAAGUCAAGAACUAUCAUGAAUUACUGCAAGAGCUCCCAGUGGUCCAAGGAAUACGACAUGAAUACUGCAGUGAGGGUUUCCUUUGUUCUGGCUGAGAAUGUGGCUCUAGGUGAUAAGAUCCUCAGGAAAAUCUCCUAAAGGAAGAGGAAAUAUAAACAGUAAAGAGAUGUACAAGCACAAAGAAAAGACCGUGUGAGGACACAGUUACAAAGUGAUCAUCUGCAAGCCUCAGGAGAAGCCUACUCUGCUCACACUUGGACCUUGAACUUCCAGACUCCAGAUCUGUGAGAAAACAAAUUUCUGUUGUUUAAGCCACCCAGUCUGUGGUAUUUUGCUAUGACAGCCCUAGCAAACUAAUACAGUCUCUUACUAUUCAAAAUACCAAAUAUGUCCCUUUCUGCACAUGAGGGAUGAAAAAACCCUAUAAAAUAUCAAAUACAGUCAGUCUUCUAAAGCAGAAGGAUAGGAAAAAACCAAUAAUGUUGAGAAGAGUAAAUGAAAUUUAAGACAAUGCAUACACAAACACUUUAUAUAAUGUAAAGUCAUGUAGAUAUUAGUUAUGGAACAUCUCCUGGCUAUUGCUUUUUAUCUCUCUAAAUGACAUUUUCAAUCAUAACAUUUUCCAUAUUCUCAUGCUCCAAAAGGUCAAAUUUCCUUUUGUUUAAAAUAACUUCACAGUCCAUGAUAUUUGGUGUGAGUACCUAUGUAUAUGGGUAAGGGGGAUAGACAUACCAUUUUCAUAAAAUGAGGUAUAGAUAUAGGGUUGUUUGCUUUUAAAUACCCUCUAAAAGCUUUCUAAUAUUGCUGGCGUUCCACUCAACUAGCUGGCCUUCCCUAUUUUCUUUUCUUCUCUCUCAUUCCAUGCCUCUCCGGGUUUGGACUGAGAAUCCAAUCUAAUUUUAUAAGAAAAUCAAGUACAAUGCAUAGAAUAUGGGCAGACUGGAAGGCUGCAAGGCCAUCUCUACCAUUUAAUUUAGAUUGGAUUAUGAGAGGCUCAAGCUGUUGCCUAGGAUCUCUGGGGAGUGAAAGUGACCUUCCUGAAGUGUGAGCUAGUGUCUGAUUCUUAUUCUGUGCUCUGGCAGCAAAUCUCUUCCUUUUCUCAGGAAUUCCAAAGGGAAUAGUCAGAUGUAAUAUUUAGCCUAGGAGCAGAAUGUAAUGUGUUUAUUGUCUAAAACCCAUCUUUCUCUGAUAGCUAUUACAUUGUUUCUUCUUUUAAUGUGACUCAUUAAUUUAGCUGCCUAGAGAAUGAUGUUUAUGAGGCCAAGAUUAUAUCCAUAAGGACCAGCGUGGUGAGUCAUUUUACAAAUGUGCAACAUUGGUAAUAAGGAAAAUUAAGUAGAAAAGUAUUGUUAAAAUUAUCUUAAUCCAUGAUCCACAUAACAACAUUUAUUUUCAAUCUUUAGCCUCACUGAUAACAGUUUUUUAGAAUGCUCUUCAUAUGCAAAGCAUAAAUGUUAACAUCUAUAUUGUCAUAAGUCUUUUAAAUUUAUUUUUAUUUUCCUCAACUCAAGCAACUCUAUGUUAAGCAGCGUAAGUCAUAUAGUAUAUUCGACUUGGCCAAAGGAAGCAUCUGCAAUGUAAGCAGUGUGGACUGCAGAAACUAUGCUCAAGUUGGUGAAAUAACAUCUGCAAAAGAAAGCACUGUCUGAAAGGAAAAUAAACAAGAGGUAUAGAAAUUAUUCAGGGUGAGUUAAGAUUGAUAUGCAAUGAAAUUAAGGAGAGAAAUAUUUACAUUAAACAGCAGAAGUCUUUGUUAGACCUGAAGUUUAUUAGACCUUGUCUUGUUGACUUAGGGAAAUUCUUUUCCUAGAUACAUUUAACAAGUAAUUUGAACAUUUAAAAAAAAAACCAGGAAAUAAAAAAAAAAAUUCAGGCAAAUAUUUAGCACCUGAAAACACA